ensembl:lncRNA
CAGAGGUGACCAGGAGGAUAAGAGAGAGGAAUGAGUAGGAGAGAGACAAAUCUUGCCAGUAACCAGUUCCUUAGGUGUUCUCCACUGUCUGGAACACACAGAGAUUCACAGAGUUGGAUAGAGAAGAGAUGGGGGAGAAAAGAGACAGAGGCCACCUGGUGGAGAAAAAGGAGAGUCCAGAGGAGGAGAGAGUGGUCAAGCCAGUAAUCUCGCUCUCAGGGACAACCCCAUGGACAGAGGUGCCUGGCAGGCUGCAAACCACGGGGUCGCAAAGAAUUGGACACGACCAAACGACUAAGCACAGCAGUGUUCAUUGCCCCAUUGUUUACCAUAGCCAGAACAUGGAAGCAGCCUUAAUGUCCAUCAACAGAGAAAUGGACAAAGAAGAUGUAGUGCAGAUAUACAAGUAAUGUUACACAGCCAUAAGAAGGAACAAAAUAAUGCUAUCAGAAGCAAUACGGAUGGACCUGGAUAUUGUCAUACCAAAUGAAGUAAGUCAAAAAGAGAAAGACAAAUACAAAUGAUAUCACUGAUAUGUGGAAUAUUAAAACAUGGUAUAAAUGAACUUAUUUACAAACAGGAAGAGAGUCACAAUGUAGAAAAUAAUCCUAUUGUUCCAAGUGGAAGAGGGGAGGGAUAAAUUGUGAAAUUGGGAUUGACAAGUAUACACUAAUAUAUAUAAGAAAGAUAACUAAUAAGGAUCUACCGGAUAGAAUAGGAAACUCUAUUCACUUCGCUGUAAUGACCUACAUGAGAAAAGAACCUAAAUAAGAGUGAAUACACACAUCAGUUCAGUUCAGUUCAGUCGCUCAGUCAUGUCCAACUCUUUGCGACCCCAUGAAUCACAGCACGCCAGGCCUCCCUGUUCAUUACCAACUCCCAGAUUUCCCUCAAACUCAUGUCCAUCGAGUCAGUGAUGCCAUCUCAUCCUCUGUCGUCCCCUUCUCCUCCUGCUCCCAAUCCCUCCCAGCAUCAAAGUCUUUUCCAAUGAGUCAACUCUUUGCAUGAGAUGGCCAAAGUAUUGGAGUUUCAGCUUUAGUAUCAUUCUUUCCAAAGAAAUCCCAGGACUGAUCUCCUUUGGAAUGGACUGGUUCGAUGUCCUUGCAGUCCAAGGGACUCUCAAGAGUCUUCUCCAACACCACAGUUCAAAAGCAUCAAUUCUUCAGAACUCAGCUUUCUUCACAGUCCAACUCUCACAUCCAUACAUGACCACUGGAAAGACCAUAGCCUUGGCUAG